AUUGAACGCUGGCGGCAGGCUUAACACAUGCAAGUCGAGGGGUAUAUCACUUCGGUGGUAGAGACCGGCGCACGGGUGCGUAACGCGUAUGCAACCUACCUUGAACAGGGGAAUAGCCCAGAGAGAUUUGGAUUAAUGCCCCAUGGCAUCUUCGAGUGGCAUCACUUGAUUAUUAAAGUAACAACGGUUCAAGAUGGGCAUGCGUCCCAUUAGUUAGUUGGUAAGGUAACGGCUUACCAAGACGAUGAUGGGUAGGGGUCCUGAGAGGGAGAGCCCCCACACUGGUACUGAGACACGGACCAGACUCCUACGGGAGGCAGCAGUGAGGAAUAUUGGUCAAUGGGCGCAAGCCUGAACCAGCCAUGCCGCGUGCAGGAUUAAGGCCCUAUGGGUUGUAAACUGCUUUUGUACGGGAAGAAACAGAGGUUCGUGAACCUCCUUGACGGUACCGUAAGAAUAAGGAUCGGCUAACUCCGUGCCAGCCGCCGCAGUAA
rnacentral:rRNA from 1 species